AUGCCUCCCAGCUCUGCCCCUCCUGCCAUGGGCUGCAGCCCCAUCUGCUGGGUGGCUCUGUGUCUCCUGGCAGCAGGCCUUGUGGAUUCUGGAGUCACCCAAACCCCGAGAUACCUGAUUAAAGCAGGAGGACAGCGAGGGACCCUGGGAUGCUCCCCUGUCUCUGGACACCUCUCCGUGUACUGGUACCAACAGGCCCUGGGCCAGGGCCCCGAGUUCCUCGUUGAGUAUUACAGGCAGGAAGCAGGCCUGGUAGAUUCUGGAGUCACCCAGACACCCAAGUACCUGAUCAAAUCAAGAAAGCAGCAAGUGACUCUGAGAUGUUCCUCUGAGUCUGAACACCUCUCUGUGUACUGGUACCAACAGGCCCUGGGCCAGAGCCCCUAG